rnacentral:rRNA from 1 species
UGGGGAAUAUUGCACAAUGGGCGAAAGCCUGAUGCAGCGACGCCGCGUGGGGGAUGACGGCCUUCGGGUUGUAAACCCCUUUCGGCAGGGAAGAAGCGCAAGUGACGGUACCUGCAGAAGAAGCGCCGGCUAACUACGUGCCAGCAGCCGCGGUAAUACAGAGGGUGCAAGAGUUAAUCGGAAUUACUGGGCGUAAAGCGCGCGUAGGUGGUUUGUUAAGUCGGAUGUGAAAGCCCUGGGCUCAACCUGGGAAUUGCAUUUAGAACUGGCAGGCUAGAGUUUUGGAGAGGGGAGUGGAAUUCCAGGUGUAGCGGUGAAAUGCGUAGAUAUCUGGAGGAACAUCAGUGGCGGAGGCGACUCCCUGGUCAGUAACUGACGCUCAUGUGCGAAAGUGUGGGUAGCGAACAGGAUUAGAUACCC